rnacentral:rRNA from 1 species
UUAAAUUGAAGAGUUUGAUCAUGGCUCAGAUUGAACGCUGGCGGCAGGCCUAACACAUGCAAGUCGAACGAUAACAGGAAGCAGCUUGCUGCUUUGCUGACGAGUGGCGGACGGGUGAGUAAUGUCUGGGAAACUGCCUGAUGGAGGGGGAUAACUACUGGAAACGGUGGCUAAUACCGCAUAACGUCGCAAGACCAAAGAGGGGGACCUUCGGGCCUCUUGCCAUCAGAUGUGCCCAGAUGGGAUUAGCUUGUUGGUGAGGUAACGGCUCACCAAGGCGACGAUCCCUAGCUGGUCUGAGAGGAUGACCAGCCACACUGGAACUGAGACACGGUCCAGACUCCUACGGGAGGCAGCAGUGGGGAAUAUUGCACAAUGGGCGCAAGCCUGAUGCAGCCAUGCCGCGUGUAUGAAGAAGGCCUUCGGGUUGUAAAGUACUUUCAGCGGGGAGGAAGGUGUUGUGGUUAAUAACCGCAGCAAUUGACGUUACCCGCAGAAGAAGCACCGGCUAACUCCGUGCCAGCAGCCGCGGUAAUACGGAGGGUGCAAGCGUUAAUCGGAAUUACUGGGCGUAAAGCGCACGCAGGCGGUCUGUCAAGUCGGAUGUGAAAUCCCCGGGCUCAACCUGGGAACUGCAUUCGAAACUGGCAGGCUUGAGUCUUGUAGAGGGGGGUAGAAUUCCAGGUGUAGCGGUGAAAUGCGUAGAGAUCUGGAGGAAUACCGGUGGCGAAGGCGGCCCCCUGGACAAAGACUGACGCUCAGGUGCGAAAGCGUGGGGAGCAAACAGGAUUAGAUACCCUGGUAGUCCACGCCGUAAACGAUGUCUACUUGGAGGUUGUGCCCUUGAGGCGUGGCUUCCGGAGCUAACGCGUUAAGUAGACCGCCUGGGGAGUACGGCCGCAAGGUUAAAACUCAAAUGAAUUGACGGGGGCCCGCACAAGCGGUGGAGCAUGUGGUUUAAUUCGAUGCAACGCGAAGAACCUUACCUGGUCUUGACAUCCACAGAAGAAUCCAGAGAUGGAUUUGUGCCUUCGGGAACUGUGAGACAGGUGCUGCAUGGCUGUCGUCAGCUCGUGUUGUGAAAUGUUGGGUUAAGUCCCGCAACGAGCGCAACCCUUAUCCUUUGUUGCCAGCGGUUAGGCCGGGAACUCAAAGGAGACUGCCAGUGAUAAACUGGAGGAAGGUGGGGAUGACGUCAAGUCAUCAUGGCCCUUACGACCAGGGCUACACACGUGCUACAAUGGCGCAUACAAAGAGAAGCGACCUCGCGAGAGCAAGCGGACCUCAUAAAGUGCGUCGUAGUCCGGAUUGGAGUCUGCAACUCGACUCCAUGAAGUCGGAAUCGCUAGUAAUCGUGGAUCAGAAUGCCACGGUGAAUACGUUCCCGGGCCUUGUACACACCGCCCGUCACACCAUGGGAGUGGGUUGCAAAAGAAGUAGGUAGCUUAACCUUCGGGAGGGCGCUUACCACUUUGUGAUUCAUGACUGGGGUGAAGUCGUAACAAGGUAACCGUAGGGGAACCUGCGGUUGGAUCACCUCCUUACCUUAAAGAAGC